rnacentral:rRNA from 1 species
CGAGCGAGCUUGCCUAGAUGAAUUUGGUGCUUGCACCAGAUGAAACUAGAUACAAGCGAGCGGCGGACGGGUGAGUAACACGUGGGUAACCUGCCCAAGAGACUGGGAUAACACCUGGAAACAGAUGCUAAUACCGGAUAACAACACUAGACGCAUGUCUAGAGUUUAAAAGAUGGUUCUGCUAUCACUCUUGGAUGGACCUGCGGUGCAUUAGCUAGUUGGUAAGGUAACGGCUUACCAAGGCAAUGAUGCAUAGCCGAGUUGAGAGACUGAUCGGCCACAUUGGGACUGAGACACGGCCCAAACUCCUACGGGAGGCAGCAGUAGGGAAUCUUCCACAAUGGACGCAAGUCUGAUGGAGCAACGCCGCGUGAGUGAAGAAGGGUUUCGGCUCGUAAAGCUCUGUUGGUAGUGAAGAAAGAUAGAGGUAGUAACUGGCCUUUAUUUGACGGUAAUUACUUAGAAAGUCACGGCUAACUACGUGCCAGCAGCCGCGGUAAUACGUAGGUGGCAAGCGUUGUCCGGAUUUAUUGGGCGUAAAGCGAGUGCAGGCGGUUCAAUAAGUCUGAUGUGAAAGCCUUCGGCUCAACCGGAGAAUUGCAUCAGAAACUGUUGAACUUGAGUGCAGAAGAGGAGAGUGGAACUCCAUGUGUAGCGGUGGAAUGCGUAGAUAUAUGGAAGAACACCAGUGGCGAAGGCGGCUCUCUGGUCUGCAACUGA